AACGAACGCUGGCGGCAUGCCUAACACAUGCAAGUCGAACGAGACCUUCGGGUCUUUUGUCCCACGGGUGCGUAACGCGUGGGAACCUUCCCUUAUGUUCGGAAUAACUCCCCGAAAGGGGUGCUAAUACCGGAUAAUGUCUUCUGACCAAAGAUUUAUCGCCUUUGGAUGGGCCCGCGUUGGAUUCGCUAGUUGGUAGGGUAAAAGCCUACCAAGGCGACGAUCCAUAGCUGGUCUGAGAGGAUGAUCAGCCACACUGGGACUGAGACACGGCCCAGACUCCUACGGGAGGCAGCAGUGGGGAAUAUUGGAAAAUGGGCGAAAGCAUGAUCCAGCAAUGCCGCGUGAGUGAUGAAGGCCUUAGGGUUGUAAAGCUCUUUUAACCGGGAUGAUAAUGACAGUACCGGGAGAAUAAGCCCCGGCUAACUCCGUG
rnacentral:rRNA from 1 species